UCAAGUCGAGCGGACUGAAGAGAAGCCGCCUCCGGAUAGUAGCGGCGGACGGGUGAGUAACACGUAGGCAACCUGCCCUCAAGUUUGGGACAACUACCGGAAACGGUAGCUAAUACCGAAUAAUUGUUUUCUUCGCCUGAAGGAAACUGGAAAGACGGAGCAAUCUGUCACUUGGGGAUGGGCCUGCGGCGCAUUAGCUAGUUGGUGAGGUAACGGCUCACCAAGGCGACGAUGCGUAGCCGACCUGAGAGGGUGAUCGGCCACACUGGGACUGAGACACGGCCCAGACUCCUACGGGAGGCAGCAGUAGGGAGUCCUCCGCAAUGGGCGAAAGCCUGACGGAGCAAUGCCGCGUGAGUGAUGAAGGUUUUCGGAGCGUAAAGCUCUGUUGCCAUGGAAGAAC
rnacentral:rRNA from 1 species